GUAUGGUGGACAGCCUGUUGUUUACAAUGCUCAGCCUGGAUCUUCUCCCCAGGGUUACAUGCAUCCUUCUGGGCAACAGGUGAGACAGCUUACGUGAAAUGAACUUCACUAUGCAUUCUUAGUUUCUUUACAGCCUCCCAUGUAUCAUGUUUUGGCUUAUCGUUGACAUGCUGUUAUGCUUAUAGUUUUCUAAUGAUCCUAUCUAAGACCUAGGCUGGGUUCUCUUGGUUUAUAUAGUUAUUACUUAUGUUGAUGUUACACAUUGGUGUUUAUUAAUUGUCUUAUGUUUGGACCAUGAGUUUGCCAUUCCAUGCUGUUAUAUACUAGUAGUCAUUCAUUUCCCCCUCAGGUCUAAUGCCUGGACGCUGAAUUACUGACUAAUUGCAUAUAAGCUGAUGCCCCGAGAUUACUGAUGCUCUUUGCUACCAUCGUGCUAACUAACUUUGUUUUCUUAUCUGCAGUAUGGGCAGCAAAUGAUGAUGGGACAGACCCGCCCUGUCUAUUAUUAUGCACCUGGAAGCCUCUUUUGAAGUGAAAUGUUGUACACCCCAGCUCUGUUAAGUUGGAGAUGCAAACUGCCCGUUCUAAACUUCUAAUCAUGUCUUCUUAAUCUGUUUUGCAGGAGAUGCAGCAGCAGCAAUACAGAGGAAGGAACUUCUAGGUAGAUUGAUUUUGUUACGCUGCAAUGUGGAACUCUGCAGUGAAAUCCCCAUUGGCGGGGGAUGCUAACCAGGCCGAUGCGCCGCCAUGCGUGAAAAGAACUGGCGAUGGCCUCUGACUUCAACCGUGUGUGUUUUGUCGCCAGGACGAAGAUCACCGCUG
rnacentral:lncRNA from 1 species